rnacentral:rRNA from 1 species
AUGCCUAGUGUCAUGAUCAAAGCCGAUGAUCAUAAGCUAUGUCCUCCAUCACGAUCUCGAAUGAAACUAUCCAUGGAAUCCAUCCCGAGGAUGGCGCAUCUCGUUGGGCAUGGAGAAGAAUUGGGAACCCCAAUAUCUUUCUUCAAAGCAGUUUCUUUUCCCGUCCCCUCGCCCCGGCUUAGCGCUUCGCUUCCGAUUCUUCGGACGAAUCAAUUGACUUCUCCCUUCUUCAUUGAUCCUGGGGAAAGGGAACCGUCUACCAGUUGGGAAGCUAGACAUCAAGGUUGUGGCUUGAUGAGGAUAACUAAGCUAACACUCCGGAGUUGGCUGCUGGCACAACAGGGUGGUGCCUUACUGCAUCGCAAGCACACGCGCGGUAGUGUUCAUGGUGGUGCUUCAAGAUUCCAAUGUACUGUGUCCAGGAUCAGAACGAGCUUGCCGGUGGACCACUGCCCCGGCCAAAUUACUACCGGAUCAUCGUUCUACUCUACCUCAAUUCACCAUUUCAAACUUUAUAUAGAAGGUUUUUCCAUAUCAGCUCCUUCUACCUAUACCGCAGUUGAAGCACCUAACGGUGAAUUUGGUGUCUCUCUUGUCGGUAAUGGGAGUAAUCAUCCCUACCGUUGUAAAAUAUGA